UUUCCCCCAGGCCCCACCUCAGCUUCUCCUCCGCCGCUCUCCCCUCACAAUUUCCCGCCUCUGCCGCGUGCGCGGGCUCCCAGCCAAUAGCGGCGCGUCUCGCCGAACCGACCAAUCACCGCGCUGCACGUCCCCUACCAACCAUUCACAGCGCGGCUCCCCUCAGCAAAGCCCGCCUUCCGGAAGCGGCGCCCCGUUCCCCGCCGCCGCCGGGACCCCGCCGGGCUCGGGACAGGUGCCAAGCUGUUCCAUGGCCCGCACUCGAACCCGAUGGUGUUCUGGGCUGUGUGCCAGGGUCUCUGAGCCCCCUGGCAAGGGUCCCAGGAAACUCCAGACUCCCAGAGGGAUGUCCUGAGUUCCCACAUCUCCCCCUUCUGUUUGCACCAAGAAGACCUCUUUGACAACCUGGCUCACAACCCGCCGUAUACACAAAGGAAUGCAUGGCAUAAUGAACAAGAGAACUAAAAGCCCUACUAAAAUAUAACAAGCUAUCAUCUAACAACAAUUUUACAACACUACUGAUUCCCACACCCAUGAAGUGACCCAAAGUCCACAGUCUUCUGUGGGCAAAGCACAAGGGUUGGAAUCUCUGUGCAGUCCACAUCUGUACAUCUUCUUUUCUGCUUAUGGAAUGGUCAGCAUUUUCUUGCCUGCGCUUCUUGUCAACAUUGUCUUGCACUGGAUGGAGUGUCGUGGUUUGAAGGGAAAUGAAGUUUUUGUGAUGGUGUGGGCAAGCCAAUCAGUGUUCAGAUUUAAUAUUGGCACCUGGUUUGUCCACUGAGGGCAUGGAUACGCCUCUGAGAACACAGGGGUUAAAAGCUGUGAUCUCCCAGGGGAACUUCCUCUUGGAGUCCCGCUCGAGAGUGAGCAGACCCCCCCCUCUGCCCGGCCGAGCUGGGCGGGGGGGGAGGGGAGCCAUGUGGCCGGAGGGAGAGGUAGGACAGGCCUGGGCCCAAGGGUGGAGGAGAACAUUGCAAGGGCUUCGGGCAGCCAUCCUCCAUUCCCCCCCCUCACCCCGGAGAGAGGGAGAGAGACAGAGCCGGCACCGGUGAUAGUGGCCUGGCGUGAAGGAGAAGGGGGGGGUGCCCAGCAGGGCAGCCAAGCGUGGGAGUUCAUGGAGCAAACCGGCAGAGCCUGGGACUUUUAACCCUUCUGGGGAGGAUAUGGAAACCUUGCAAAUGCUGAUUCCUCCUGAAGUUGAUGAGAUUGAGAGGAUGUUGAGAAGAAUCCUAGGUGGGAGGAGAUGAUGGAGUGGCCUUUGGCUGGACUUUUCUUGUAUAGCCACAGCAGAACCCUUUGUGUUCCUGUGACACAGAGACUGCAUUCUAGGGGGAGGCGAUGGCUCAGAGCCAAGAGAGUGCAGUGAUGUGGAGGAGUGUGAACAGAGACGACGGGUGAGGAGGGUGGUGGUGGUGCCCUCUGCUUCGAAGAAGAGGAAGAGGAAGAUGAUCUCUGUUCAAGAGGCCCCUCGGCCCCAGGGGGUGAAAUUUGGGGGGCACAGGUGUCCCAAAAGGAGAGGGACUGUGCUCUUUUUGGAACUGGACAAAGUAUCCUUAAAGGGAAAAACCCUAGAAGCAGCUCUGAUCCAUGUGCAGUGGUGAGAGCACUGGACAUGGAAGGAAGAAGUCACGAUGGCAAAAUGUUCUCCGGGCGGUGCCACAUGUGACACGGAAACACGAGAAGUUUCGACUGUUUCCUGGGGAAGUCUGUGGUGCAAGAGGGACUUCUCUCUUCUCGAGGAAUUGAGAACUGAUUAUCUAAAGGGUGGAUUUGGUGAUAAUGGAAUUGGAAAUCUAGGUGGGGGGAGGAGGAAGAAAUUUGGAAGGUUUUCAUCUUGGGUUCUAUGUGUUUUGUGUGUUUUUCCUUAGUGUUUUCCUUUGUAGUUUUAGGUUAAUAAAGUUUUUUUUUCCCUUAAACCUCAA